rnacentral:lncRNA from 1 species
CUUUCCCCGUAUUUCUCUCUUUCGAGCAUUCUUCGUCCUCCGACCCCAUCCGAAAGCUUGAGGGUGGUGGUUCUUCAAUCUUCGGAAGGGUCUUUCAUUUAUUAUCGAUCUUCCAUCGUCGAUCCACGGGUGGAAGAAUCCAUUUUUCUUUGCUUCUUCUUUGCUUCCUUGGGGGUUCCCUUCCCGCUGGGACGAUCUUCGGACUCAGCUGAACGCAAACAGUCGGGUAGAGGAUGGAGAUCGAGAGGACUUUCACCGACUGAAGAUGUGUUGGUGCCAAAGCAGAGGGAGCUCGUCACCGAGCAAGCUCUGUAUGACGCCG